GCACUACUGAGGAGUCCCAUACUAGGACGAAACGGCAGUCCAGUGC
rnacentral:hammerhead_ribozyme from 1 species